rnacentral:tRNA from 3 species
GCGGGGGUAGCCAAGCCAGGUCUACGGCGGCGGACUCAAGAUCCGCUCCCUGAGGGGUUCGUGGGUUCAAAUCCCACCCCCCGCA